rnacentral:lncRNA from 1 species
CAUUAGGACUACCCUGGCCAAGGUUUUGCUAAAUUAAAAUAUGACUGUACACAGCUCCUGAACUGGAGUGGUCAAUCCCAUCUUGACACACGCACCGACAAGUCAAGUACUUGACUACACCCAACAGCCUUCCGUCACUGAAUUAGAAAUUCAGGUAGUCCAGUGCCUAAGUGCAGUGAGUUGCUUGCAAGUCACCAUGACGGUC